rnacentral:rRNA from 1 species
UGGGGAAUCUUUCACAAUGGGCGAAAGCCUGAUGCAGCGACGCCGCGUGCGGGAUGAAGGCCUUCGGGUUGUAAACCGCUUUCAGCAGGGACGAGGCCGCAAGGUGACGGUACCUGCAGAAGAAGCCCCGGCUAACUACGUGCCAGCAGCCGCGGUAAUACGUAGGGGGCAAGCGUUAUCCGGAUUAAUUGGGCGUAAAGCGCGCGUAGGCGGUUUGUUAGGUCAGGAGUUAAAUCUGGGGGCUCAACCCCUAUCCGCUCCUGAUACCGGCAGGCUUGAGUCUGGUAGGGGAAGGCGGAAUUCCAGGUGUAGCGGUGAAAUGCGCAGAUAUUUGAAAGAACACCGGUGGUGAAGGCGGCCUUCUGGGCCACGACUGACGCUGAGGCGCGAAAGCUAGGGGAGCGAACAGG